GGGGGGGGCCUGAUGCGUGACACCACUUGCUGGUGGAAGCGUUGAUGGCCGCAGAGACCAGGCCCAAGCGACUGUUUACUAAAAACACAGGUCCGUGCGAAGAAGUAAUUCGAUGUAUACGGACUGACGCCUGCCCGGUGCUGGAACGUUAAGGGGACAGGUUAGCUGGUUUAGGCCGGCGAAGCUUUGAACUUAAGCGCCAGUAAACGGCGGUGGUGACUAUAACCAUCCUAAGGUAGCGAAAUUCCUUGUCGGGUAAGUUCCGACCUGCACGAAUGGCGUAACGACUUGGGCGCUGUCUCAACCAUGGACUCCGAAAUUGCAUUACGAGUAAAGAUGCUCGUUACGCGCAGCAGGACGGAAAGACCCCGGGACCUUUACUACAACUUGGUAUUGGUGGUCGGUACAACUUGUGUAGGAUAGGUGGGAGACUGUGAAACUCGGACGCCAGUUCGGGUGGAGUCAUCGUUGAAAUACCACUCUGGUUGUUCUGGCUGUCUAACUUCGGUCCAUUAUCUGGAUCAGGGACAGUGCCUGGUGGGUAGUUUGACUGGGGCGGUCGCCUCCUAAAAGGUAACGGAGGCGCUCAAAGGUUCCCUCAGCCUGGUUGGCAAUCAGGUGUCGAGUGUAAGUGCACAAGGGAGCUUGACUGUGAGACAGACAUGUCGAGCAGGGACGAAAGUCGGAACUAGUGAUCCGGCGGUGGCAUGUGGGAGCACCGUCGCUCAACGGAUAAAAGGUACCCCGGGGAUAACAGGCUGAUCUUCCCCAAGAGUCCAUAUCGACGGGAUGGUUUGGCACCUCGAUGUCGGCUCGUCGCAUCCUGGGGCUGGAGUAGGUCCCAAGGGUUGGGCUGUUCGCCCAUUAAAGCGGCACGCGAGCUGGGUUUAGAACGUCGUGAGACAGUUCGGUCCCUAUCCGCUGCGCGCGCAGGAGACUUGAGAAGGGCUGCCCCUAGUACGAGAGGACCGGGGUGGACGAACCUCUGGUGUGCCAGUUGUUCCGCCAGGAGCACGGCUGGUUGGCUACGUUCGGAAGUGAUAACCGCUGAAAGCAUCUAAGCGGGAAGCACGCUUCAAGAUGAGGUCUCCCACCGAGUUAAUCGGGUAAGGCCCCCAGUAGACCACUGGGUUGAUAGGCCAGAAGUGGAAGCGCCGCAAGGUGUGGAGCUGACUGGUACUAAUAGGCCGAGGGCUUGUCCCA
rnacentral:rRNA from 1 species